rnacentral:tRNA from 2 species
UCCCUGGUAGUCUAGAGGUUAGGACUCAGCACUUUCACGGCUGAGACCCAGGUUCAAUCCCUGGUCUGGGAA